GCCAAUCCAAUGGUUUCCAAGAGGAAACCAUUGGUAGGCUCUUGUGAAUGUGCAACAAAACUCUGUGCAAAUCAGGAUCUCUUCAUUGAGAUGAAUUGAAUCAAUGCAUCUCUAUGGGGAAUAUUCAGCGCCUCCAUGCAGAGCGUGGAGACGCUGAACCCCAGUGCUGCACAUUGUGGAGCACUAGACUAGGAAGCACUUCUAGUGGCCAUCUGAG